rnacentral:tRNA from 1 species
GGGUGUUUAGCUCAGUGGUAGAGCAUCUCGUUUACACCGAGAAUGUCGGCGGUUCAAGUCCGUCAACACUCA